AUUGAACGCUGGCGGCAGGCCUAACACAUGCAAGUCGAACGGUAACAGGAAGAAGCUUGCUUCUUUGCUGACGAGUGGCGGACGGGUGAGUAAUGUCUGGGAAACUGCCUGAUGGAGGGGGAUAACUACUGGAAACGGUAGCUAAUACCGCAUAAUGUCGCAAGACCAAAGAGGGGGACCUUCGGGCCUCUUUCCAUCGGAUGUGCCCAGAUGGGAUUAGCUAGUAGGUGGGGUAACGGCUCACCUAGGCGACGAUCCCUAGCUGGUCUGAGAGGAUGACCAGCCACACUGGAACUGAGACACGGUCCAGACUCCUACGGGAGGCAGCAGUGGGGAAUAUUGCACAAUGGGCGCAAGCCUGAUGCAGCUAUGCCGCGUGUAUGAAGAAGGCCUUCGGGUUGUAAAGUACUUUCAGCGGGGAGGAAGGGAGUAAAGUUAAUACCUUUGCUCAUUGACGUUACCCGCAGAAGAAGCACCGGCUAACUCCGUG
rnacentral:rRNA from 1 species